AUAAAAGGAUGACACAAUGCCAUCACUGAUGUAUAAUCUUCUGACCACAAUAGUACUAUGAUGGUAAUACAUGCAAAAUGAGUGUUUUAGAACAUUAUGCACAAUGUGGCAUAAUUACAGUGAUACUGGGUGCUUCUACCCAAGUACUAGUACUAAGGCUGAUGGCCUUAUUCGGGAAUCAGGGAAGCAUGAAGUGCUAAACUGUGAAAUGGCGAAAGAGAUAAGGUUCUCUACUGAUUCUCCACAAACCCAUCGAUUCAGUUGGCUUUGUUGUUUGCACUUUGCCCAGACCACAUCUCCAUGAGAAAUUAGGAACGGAGGAUGUGUCGCUGAUUGAAGGUUGUAGUCAUGCGCGUGGUGAGUGUCUCCACGACGUGGAACCGCCCCGUCUCUGUCGGCCGCCGGGCCAUGACUUGGCGUGGCCGUUGACCACCAUUUCCUUCAUCUGCCAUCCCUGGGCGCUACAUCUCGGAGGGAAAUGUUGUGCCAGCAGCCUAGGCCACGCUGCGCCGGAGGACGCCGCUUCUCCGGAUGCUAGACGAUUUGCCGCCGCUGAUGGAUGCGAGGGAUUGUGCGCCUCGCGUUAUGUGCCGGAGGGUGCUAUCGCUGGCCUGAUCGACGCCUGGUCGUGGCCGCUUCGGGCUGGUGCGGGAGGCCGCCCAUCUCCAGAGCAUGCUGUGCCUCGCCGUUGUACCUCACAUCGGGAGAAGAAACAACUCGCCAGAGGGCCAGAACGUGCUUUGAAGAUUGACGCCGCCGGCCCUGGGUCGGGUCGGAUACGCCUCCGCGUCGGGGCCUUCGGGCGUGAAGGGCGAGGCGCCGAGGCUUCUUCCGGAUGCCUGCAGGCAAGAAGGCCUCUCACUUCCGGCCAAUGGCCGUCUUCAUCGACGCAGGGUAUGCCGCAAUGCGGCUUCGAUGUUGUUUUUUCUCUGG
rnacentral:lncRNA from 1 species